rnacentral:rRNA from 1 species
AGUCUGACCGAGCAACGCCGCGUGAGUGAAGAAGGUUUUCGGAUCGUAAAACUCUGUUGUUAGAGAAGAACAAGGGUGAGAGUAACUGUUCACCCCUUGACGGUAUCUAACCAGAAAGCCACGGCUAACUACGUGCCAGCAGCCGCGGUAAUAC